CUUUUUUUCGUGUCAAUUACAUUCAUUAACUCGAUGAAUAGUUCCAAUUGGGUCUUACCGUCCAACUCUGUCAAUUUAUCCAUCAAAAUGAGAGAUAAAAACGUCCUUUCAGGUUCUUCAUCCAUCAUCAACCCCAACUCCCCCUUCUUCAUCCAUCAUCCACCCAACAACCCCACCUCCAUCUUCAAAGAUCACUGCAACUAUGUUGUCAACUGCUAUUUCCAAAGGAAGGGCCAAACUGCACAGAGCAACGAUUUUGCAGGCGCUGCUACUCAGAGCCCAACUGCUCCAACCUCAAGUUCCACUUCCACUUGUGUUUAUCCUUCAAGUACUAGGUAGGUGUCUAUUCUACCUUUUUCAUACAGCCCAGCACUUCAAAAACAAAAAACAAAAAAGCCAAGAAACCAUUGGCCUGAAAUUUUCAGAAUCACCGUGACCCUUUUCUCAAGAGUGGAAGAGAGAUGUUGUAACUUUUAAGUGGUUGGAGUUGACGAAGGGAAGCUAAAUUGAUGGUGUUGAAACUUUGAAACCUCAUUGGCCUGAAAUUUUCAGAAUCCCCGUGACCCAACUUCCAGCUUCCUCCUCAAAUAUCUCUCUGUCUCUCUUUCUCUCUUCGUUUUUGAAGAAUCAUCUUCCAUAAUAUUUCAGAAAAAACAGAACUGAAAAUUAAGCCACACAAGUAAAAUUUUUUAUUUUUAAGUUUGGGAUCUGGGUUUUGAGGGGGGUGGGAUAAGGAGGGGGGAAUGGGUUGUGAGAGAGAGAGAAAGAGAUGGCAUGUUUACAUAUCAGUAAUAGGUAUGGAAAGAAAGGGAAUUAUUUA